UAUGUGAUCGUCUCUCGCAUAUCAAUAAGCGGAGGAAAAGAAACUAACAAGGAUUCCCCUAGUAACGGCGAGUGAAGCGGGAAGAGCUCAAAUUUGAAAUCUUAAAGGGUUUCCCUUUACGAAUUGUAGUUUAAAGAAGUGUUUUCUGUUGAGGUUUUGGUAAAAGUUCUUUGGAAUAGGACAUCAUGGAGGGUGAGAAUCCCGUAUUUGACCUUUACUUUCAACUUUGUGAUACACUUUCAAAGAGUCGGAUUGUUUGGGAAUGCAGUCCAAAAUGGGUGGUAAAUUUCAUCUAAAGCUAAAUAUUGGCGAGAGACCGAUAGCGAACAAGUACCGUGAGGGAAAGAUGAAAAGAACUUUGAAAAGAGAGUUAAACAGUACGUGAAAUUGUCAAAAGGGAAGCGUUUGACACCAGUGUUGUUUUUCUGAAUAUCAAUUAAAGAACUGUUUAUGCUAAGCUGUUUAGACUUUAUCAGCUAUCUGUUUAGUUUUGAGCUUUUCUUUAAUGCACUUUUCAGUUAACAAGUCAACAUCAAUUUCUUUUUCUGUAAAAAAGCUUGAGGAAGGUGGCUUGAGAUUCGUCUUAAGUGUUUAUAGCCUCUUGCCUAUGCAGUCGGAGAGAUUGUGGUCUGCAGCGUAGAUCCUUCGGGGCUAAAUGCAUUUGUGCUAAGUUAUAGCAUUUUAUAGACGACUUGUUGACUAUGAUUUGUCUUGUAGCUUACUCGCUUAUGUUAUUUUACCUACGCUUAGGAUGUUGACGAGACUGUCGAUCUC
rnacentral:rRNA from 1 species